GACGAACCGUGCGAACGUUGUUCGGAAUUACUGGGCGUAAAGCGUGCGCAGGCGGUUGUGCAAGACAGAUGUGAAAUCCCCGGGCUCAACCUGGGAAUUGCAUUUGUGACUGCACGGCUAGAGUGUGUCAGAGGGGGGUAGAAUUCCACGUGUAGCAGUGAAAUGCGUAGAUAUGUGGAGGAAUACCGAUGGCGAAGGCAGCCCCCUGGGAUAACACUGACGCUCAUGCACGAAAGCGUGGGGAGCAAACAGG
rnacentral:rRNA from 1 species